UACGUCUUACGUGACACUUUUAUUAGCUGUAAAUAUUUAUGUACUUGUAAACGAGGUAGUUAUUAUACAUAUUAUUUGUCUUAAAUAUUUUCAUGUUAUAACAACUUGUGAUAAAGAUCUUAUAUAUCACUUGCGUAUCUCAGUGAGUUUCAGAAGAUAGAUGUUCUAUGACACAUCACCACAAGAAAAAAAAUUCCUGCCAAUCAACAACUAGUAGUUUAUUGAUGCAACAUCGAUUAAUAGGCCUGGAGAAUUACGACGAACUCUUUCAGAUAUGGUUCUGACGUGACGUGAUGUAACUUAGAUAACUACUGGAAUCGCUCGGAAAUGGUAUACCUAUUGAAGAUUUCGAGGUGCGCCAGCUUGAAAAAGUGUGCUAUUCGCAUAAACAAUGAAAGAGUGAAAAAAAUGCGAAAAUCGCGUUUUUUCCCGGAAGCAAUCGCAUAUAACUCGAUAACUAUGCAUUUUAGAGAAAAAUAUCUAUACUUAUACUUAUACAAUUUGUUCUAUAUGAAAUUUGCUACAAGUUUGAGUUGGUCCGAUAUCCGCAGAUUUAAAAUGUUGUCUGCAAAAUGCUCGAAAGUGCAAUAAAGUAGGUAAAAAAGAAGGAAUUUUUAAAUUAUUUAUUUAACAAUGAGAAAAUAAGCCAAUUACGAAACAGGUAUUUAUAAAUACAUAUACAUUUUUCCUCUAGAAUGCUUAAUUACCGAGUUAUAUGCUAUUGUUUCCGGGAAGAAACCAAAAUCACGUCUUUAUUGUUUAAUUGUGUCUGAAUAAAGAACCUGUAAAUCAUA